AUUCUAUAUAGAAUGGGUUGGGAAUUAUGCCUAGAUCCCGUAUAAAUGGAAAUUUCAUUGAUAAGACCUCCUCGAUUGUAGCCAAUAUUUUAUUGCAAAUAAUUCCGACAACCUCCGGGGAAAAAAGGGCAUUUACUUAUUAUAGAGAUGGGAUGUUGGCUCAAUCCGAAGGAAAUUAUGCGGAAGCUUUGCAGAAUUAUUAUGAAGCUACGCGACUAGAAAAUUGAUCCCUAUGAUCGAAGUUAUAUACUAUAUAACAUAGGCCUUAUACACACAAGCAAUGGAGAGCAUACAAAGGCUUUGGAAUAUUAUUUCCGGGCGCUAGAACGAAACCCCUUCUUACCGCAAGCUUUUAAUAAUAUGGCCGUGAUCUGUCAUUACCGAGGAGAACAGGCCAUUCUACAGGGCGAUUCGGAAAUUGCGGAAGCUUGGUUUGAUCAAGCUGCUGAGUAUUGGAAACAAGCUAUAGCGCUUACUCCAGGAAAUUAUAUUGAAGCACAGAACUGGUUAAAGAUUACGAAGCGCUUUGAAUUUGAAUAAGACCACUCUCCAUUUUCAUAAAAAGGGUGGUUUGGUUGAAAAUCAAAUCAAGAAUUUCAUUAUAUCCCUUUCUUCUACCUUCAAUUUUAUAUCAUAUUUCAUAAGGAUAAACAAUAGGGAUAGGCUCUGGAACAGAAGUAAUAAAGUACAUAAAAAUCGGCAAUCUAAAUAUUCCUACCUAAUAUAUCAGGACGGUCUUAUUAAUAAUUCUAAUGAGUUAUCUUGGAAUUUUGAAUCGAAUCAAAAAAUCUAUAUUAUGCUCACUCAAGGAAAGUAGAUGUAGAUAGGGGCUUAUACCCUCAGAAAAAAAAUACACCAGCUUCUUAAAUUAAAACGUAAAAAAAGAUUUUUUUGUUAUGUCGGGAAAUAAUUUUCCAGAAUAACCAAUGUCCGUUAGGCACCUAAUCCUUAUGUCAUAAUAGAUCCGAACACUUGCCUCGGAUUGACUUCAAUAUAUAAUUGCUCCAGUGAAUAACUAAAAAAAAAAAAUAGAAGGACGGUAGAUAGUAAAGAAAAGGACUAAUCAUAAUAUCUAUCUUUAAAAGAUUCAAUAAAAAGACAGUUGGCGGGUCUCUUUGUAUGUCUUGUCCGGAAAGAGGAGGACUUAAUGAUUAUUCGUUCGUCGGAACCAGAAGUUAAAAUUGCUGUGGAUAGGGAUCCUAUAAAAACAUCUUUUGAGGAAUGGGCCAGACCCGGGCAUUUCUCAAGAACAAUAGCUAAGGGCCCCGAUACUACCACUUGGAUCUGGAACCUACAUGCUGAUGCUCACGAUUUCGAUAGUCAUACCGGUGAUUUGGAGGAGAUCUCCCGAAAAGUCUUUAGUGCUCAUUUCGGCCAACUCUCCAUUAUCUUUCUUUGGUUGAGUGGCAUGUACUUCCACGGUGCCCGUUUUUCCAAUUAUGAAGCAUGGCUAAGCGAUCCUACUCACAUUGGACCCAGUGCUCAGGUAGUUUGGCCAAUAGUAGGACAAGAAAUUUUGAAUGGUGAUGUAGGCGGGGGUUUCCGAGGAAUCCAAAUAACCUCUGGUUUUUUUCAGAUUUGGCGAGCAUCCGGAAUAACUAGUGAAUUACAACUCUAUUGUACCGCAAUUGGUGCAUUGAUUUUUGCAUCGUUAAUGCUUUUUGCCGGUUGGUUCCAUUAUCACAAAGCCGCUCCCAAAUUGGCCUGGUUCCAAGAUGUAGAAUCCAUGUUGAAUCACCACUUAGCGGGAUUAUUAGGACUUGGGUCUCUUUCUUGGGCGGGACACCAAAUCCAUGUAUCUUUACCGAUUAACCAAUUUCUCGACGCUGGGGUUGAUCCUAAAGAGAUACCACUUCCUCAUGAAUUUAUCUUGAAUCGCGACCUUUUGGCUCAACUUUAUCCUAGUUUUGCCGAAGGAGCAACCCCUUUUUUCACCUUGAAUUGGUCCAAAUAUGCGGAAUUUCUUAGUUUUCGCGGAGGACUAGAUCCAAUAACCGGUGGUCUAUGGUUGAGCGAUAUUGCACACCAUCAUUUAGCUAUUGCUAUUCUUUUCCUGAUCGCUGGUCAUAUGUAUAGGACCAAUUGGGGUAUUGGUCAUGGACUUAAAGAUAUUUUGGAGGCUCAUAAGGGCCCAUUUACAGGACAAGGCCAUAAAGGUCUCUAUGAAAUCCUAACAACGUCAUGGCAUGCUCAAUUAUCUCUUAACCUAGCUAUGCUAGGCUCUACAACUAUUGUUGUAGCUCAUCAUAUGUACUCUAUGCCCCCCUAUCCAUACCUAGCUACUGACUACGGUACACAACUUUCCUUGUUCACACACCACAUGUGGAUUGGCGGAUUUCUAAUAGUUGGUGCUGCUGCACAUGCAGCCAUUUUUAUGGUAAGAGACUAUGAUCCAACUACUCGAUACAACGAUCUAUUAGAUCGCGUCCUUAGACACCGCGAUGCAAUCAUAUCCCACCUUAACUGGGUAUGUAUAUUUCUGGGUUUUCACAGUUUUGGCUUGUACAUUCAUAAUGAUACCAUGAGUGCUUUAGGCCGUCCCCAAGAUAUGUUUUCGGAUACCGCCAUACAAUUACAACCCAUCUUUGCUCAAUGGAUACAAAAUAUCCAUGCUGGCGCGCCUGGCGUAACAGCUCCUGGUGCAACAACAAGUACCAGCUUAACGUGGGGAGGCGGCGAGUUAGUAGCUAUAGGCGGCAAAGUAGCUUUGUUACCUAUUCCAUUAGGAACCGCAGAUUUUUUAGUCCAUCACAUUCACGCAUUUACCAUCCAUGUGACUGUAUUAAUACUUUUGAAAGGUGUUUUAUUUGCUCGCAGUUCCCGUCUGAUACCUGAUAAAGCAAAUCUUGGCUUUCGCUUCCCUUGCGACGGACCUGGGCGAGGGGGAACAUGUCAAGUAUCCGCCUGGGAUCAUGUUUUCUUAGGUCUAUUCUGGAUGUACAAUUCUAUUUCGGUAGUCAUUUUCCAUUUCAGUUGGAAAAUGCAGUCGGAUGUUUGGGGUACUAUAAGUGAUCAAGGGAUA